rnacentral:rRNA from 1 species
GUUGGGUAGGGGAGCGUUCUGUAAGCCUGUGAAGGUGUGUCGUGAGGCAUGCUGGAGGUAUCAGAAGUGCGAAUGCUGACAUAAGUAACGAUAAAGCGGGUGAAAAGCCCGCUCGCCGGAAGACCAAGGGUUCCUGUCCAACGUUAAUCGGGGCAGGGUGAGUCGACCCCUAAGGCGAGGCCGAAAGGCGUAGUCGAUGGGAAACGGGUUAAUAUUCCCGUACUUGGUGUUACUGCGAAGGGGGGACGGAGAAGGCUAUGUUGGCCGGGCGACGGUUGUCCCGGUUUAAGCGUGUAGGUGUGUGUUCCAGGUAAAUCCGGUUCACUUUAACACUGAGGCGUGAUGACGAGGCACUACGGUGCUGAAGCAACAAAUGCCCUGCUUCCAGGAAAAGCCUCUAAGCAUCAGGUAACAUCAAAUCGUACCCCAAACCGACACAGGUGGUCAGGUAGAGAAUACCAAGGCGCUUGAGAGAACUCGGGUGAAGGAACUAGGCAAAAUGGUGCCGUAACUUCGGGAGAAGGCACGCUGACACGUAGGUGAAGUGAUUUACUCAUGGAGCUGAAGUCAGUCGAAGAUACCAGCUGGCUGCAACUGUUUAUUAAAAACACAGCACUGUGCAAACACGAAAGUGGACGUAUACGGUGUGACGCCUGCCCGGUGCCGGAAGGUUAAUUGAUGGGGUCAGCGCAAGCGAAGCUCCUGAUCGAAGCCCCGGUAAACGGCGGCCGUAACUAUAACGGUCCUAAGGUAGCGAAAUUCCUUGUCGGGUAAGUUCCGACCUGCACGAAUGGCGUAAUGAUGGCCAGGCUGUCUCCACCCGAGACUCAGUGAAAUUGAACUCGCUGUGAAGAUGCAGUGUACCCGCGGCAAGACGGAAAGACCCCGUGAACCUUUACUAUAGCUUGACACUGAACAUUGAGCCUUGAUGUGUAGGAUAGGUGGGAGGCUUUGAAGCGUGGACGCCAGUCUGCGUGGAGCCGACCUUGAAAUACCACCCUUUAAUGUUUGAUGUUCUAACGUGGACCCGUAAUCCGGGUUGCGGACAGUGUCUGGUGGGUAGUUUGACUGGGGCGGUCUCCUCCUAAAGAGUAACGGAGGAGCACGAAGGUUGGCUAAUCCUGGUCGGACAUCAGGAGGUUAGUGCAAUGGCAUAAGCCAGCUUGACUGCGAGCGUGACGGCGCGAGCAGGUGCGAAAGCAGGUCAUAGUGAUCCGGUGGUUCUGAAUGGAAGGGCCAUCGCUCAACGGAUAAAAGGUACUCCGGGGAUAACAGGCUGAUACCGCCCAAGAGUUCAUAUCGACGGCGGUGUUUGGCACCUCGAUGUCGGCUCAUCACAUCCUGGGGCUGAAGUAGGUCCCAAGGGUAUGGCUGUUCGCCAUUUAAAGUGGUACGCGAGCUGGGUUUAGAACGUCGUGAGACAGUUCGGUCCCUAUCUGCCGUGGGCGCUGGAGAACUGAGGGGGGCUGCUCCUAGUACGAGAGGACCGGAGUGGACGCAUCACUGGUGUUCGGGUUGUCAUGCCAAUGGCACUGCCCGGUAGCUAAAUGCGGAAGAGAUAAGUGCUGAAAGCAUCUAAGCACGAAACUUGCCCCGAGAUGAGUUCU